AAUAGACUACCCCGGUAGUCCAUGCUGUAAACGAUGAGAACUAGAUGUUAGGGGGCGAUGACCUCUUAGUAUCGAAGCUAACGCGAUAAGUUCUCCGCCUGGGGAGUACGGCCGCAAGGUUAAAACUCAAAGAAAUUGACGGGGGCCCGCACAAGCGGUGGAGCAUGUGGUUUAAUUCGAUGCAACGCGAAGAACCUUACCUACCUUUGAAUCCACGGAACCUAGCAGAGAUGUUGGGGUGCCUUCGGGAACCGUGAGACAGGUGCUGCAUGGCUGUCGUCAGCUCGUGUCGUGAGAUGUUGGGUUAAGUCCCGUAACGAGCGCAACCCUUGUCCUUAGUUGCCAUCAGGUUAUGCUGGGCACUUUAAGGAGACUGCCGGUGAUAAACCGGAGGAAGGUGGGGAUGACGUCAAGUCCUCAUGGCCCUUACAGGUAGGGCUACACACGUGCUACAAUGGGCAGUACAGAGGGAAGCCAACCCGGCGAGGGGGAGCGAAUCUCAUAAAGCUGUUCGUAGUCCGGAUUGGAGUCUGCAACUCGACU
rnacentral:rRNA from 1 species